rnacentral:rRNA from 1 species
UGAGGAAUAUUGGUCAAUGGGCGGGAGCCUGAACCAGCCAAGCCGCGUGAGGGAAGAAGGCCCUAUGGGUCGUAAACCUCUUUUGUCAGGGAACAAAAGCGAGUAUGUAUACUAGUCUGAGUGUACCUGAAGAAAAAGCAUCGGCUAACUCCGUGCCAGCAGCCGCGGUAAUACGGAGGAUGCGAGCGUUAUCCGGAUUUAUUGGGUUUAAAGGGUGCGUAGGCGGCGAUGCAAGUCAGCGGUAAAAGCCCGGGGCUCAACCCCGGCCAGCCGUUGAAACUGCAGUGCUAGAGAAGGCGAGAGGUACGCGGAAUGCGCAGUGUAGCGGUGAAAUGCUUAGAUAUUGCGCAGAACUCCGAUUGCGAAGGCAGCGUACUGGCGCCUGACUGACGCUGAGGCACGAAAGCGUGGGGAUCGAACAGGAUUAGAUACCC